rnacentral:rRNA from 1 species
UUGACCUGCGGAGAUGACCGUAUCAUGUUCGACUUAUCCAUGCGAGCCGUGAGGUGCAAGACCUCGGCGUACUGCUGAGUAACACGUAGCUAAUCUAAUCUGAAGUUAGGGAUAAACCUGCGAAAGUGGGCUCAAUACCUUAUAUUCUGCGAAGGCUGGAAUGCAUUGCAGAAGAAAGCUUCGGCGCUUCAGAAUGAGGCUGCGACGUAUCAGGCUGUGUCGGUGUAAUGAACCGACAAACCAAUAACGCGUAGGGGCUAUGAGAGUAGAAGCCUCCAGAUGCCUUCUGAGACAUGAAGGCAGGUCCUACGGGACGCAGCAGGAGCGAAACCUUCCCAAUUCGUUAACGCGUGAGGAGGGAACCCUGAGUGGUUAUACUUUUUGUAUAACCUUUUGCUAAGUCCAAACAGCUUGGCGAAUAAGGGCCGGGCAAGACGGGUGCCAGCCGCCGCGGUAAUACCCGCGGNCCAAAUGGUCAUCACGAUUAUUGUGUCUAAAGCGAACGUAGCCGGUUUGACAAGUUCCUGGUGAAAUCUGGCAGCUAACUGUCAGGCGUGCUGGGAAAACUAUCAGACUUGA